rfam:Zea mays cultivar B73 chromosome 2, whole genome shotgun sequence.
UAAGGGCAAUGAUGAUGCAAAAGUCAUGCACCACUCUGAAUGAGAGGAUUUUCUCUCUUUGGGCUGACAAGCCAACUUUCUACCCAUUUUUUGUCGAAACUUA